rnacentral:rRNA from 1 species
AUUGAACGCUGGCGGCAGGCCUAACACAUGCAAGUCGAGCGGAUGAAGGGAGCUUGCUCCUGGAUUCAGCGGCGGACGGGUGAGAAUGCCUAGGAAUCUGCCUGGUAGUGGGGGAUAACGUCCGGAAACGGGCGCUAAUACCGCAUACGUCCUGAGGGAGAAAGUGGGGGAUCUUCGGACCUCACGCUAUCAGAUGAGCCUAGGUCGGAUUAGCUAGUUGGUGGGGUAAAGGCCUACCAAGGCGACGAUCCGUAACUGGUCUGAGAGGAUGAUCAGUCACACUGGAACUGAGACACGGUCCAGACUCCUACGGGAGGCAGCAGUGGGGAAUAUUGGACAAUGGGCGAAAGCCUGAUCCAGCCAUGCCGCGUGUGUGAAGAAGGUCUUCGGAUUGUAAAGCACUUUAAGUUGGGAGGAAGGGCAGUAAGUUAAUACCUUGCUGUUUUGACGUUACCAACAGAAUAAGCACCGGCUAGCUUCGUG